AUCUGUGUGUGAGAAAGUACUCGUGCCGUUUCAAAAGCGUUAUUUGUUGCUCUGACCGUAGCGAAAAGUGAUUUACUAUUUCUAUUCGCCGCUGUCUGAGUUUCUGUUGCUAUUCUGUCGAUAAAAGCAAUCAAAGCUUGAUUUAUUGUGCUUAGUAGUUCUUGACAGCCGCGGGUAAAAAUUUUGUGUGAGUUUGUCGACAGGACAGAAAGGAUGGCCUGAAAGGUUUCAUCAAAACGAUGAAGGAAUCGUGUGUAGUAAGGGUUUGCGAUAUUGCUGAUUGCUCACCACCAUUUGCAAUGAAUGCUGUACCUACCUAUUACCUAAUGACUGAUAAACACUUGUUUGUGUUUUAUUUAACAUGUUUUCCAACAACAUUUAAAUGAAAUAACAGAGCUUAAAUAUUUUGUGGUUGGACGUUAGUUCGCUCAAUCGCUUGGCAGAGACCGGAAAAGCAAAAUAUUUGAUUUCCUCUUGAAAAUGCCGACGUUCCUUCCCUUCCCAGCUUUUUCCCAUUUCAUAUUGUUUGGAUUUCCAACUGCCGCCUGAGUUAUUUCCUCGCUCACAGUUAACCGGUCACAAACGCACACACACACACACACACACACACACUUUCACACUGACACAUCGACAUGCAACAAUUGCCCCGCCAAAUGCCGCCGGUCAACAAAAACAACAAGAAUCACAACAGGAGCAGCCAUAAAGCCUUAUUGAUUUUUGACUUGAAUGCGGUUUAUAAAAUGGAUUUAUACCCUUUCAACGGGUAUUUUAAACUUUAUGGACUUAAGUAAACGCCUAUAUAGAGAGUCUGUUAUAUAAAAAUAUUGAGUUGUGUUAAAUUUAUUUGGAUAAACAUCGAAAAUUUAA